CUGAAAUUGAAGUUUCACUGGAUAUCUUAUUUUUUUCACCAAAUUCACAUUUUAUUCUGUUCUGUUCUGCCUAGUCACGGGCCUCCCUGCGCUGAGGAGCUUUCUGGAGAAGGCACUUUACCUGACAUCAGGGACUGCUCCACCCUUCAGAUCAAGUGCAUCGUUAGCAUGAUUUCUUCCUUAGACUGGAAGCUCCUUGGAGGCAGGACUUGUGCUUCCCCUCUGUGGGUAAACCAGUCUGCGUGUGGAGUCUCAAGCGAGGGCCUGAGGGCAAGCCCUCUUAUAACAGUUUGGAUGUGGGGCUCCCUUUCGUGAAGUUACCCCAUAGGGCUGGGACCACAUUUCCUGAAAGGCCGAGGGGCUUGUGAGCAGCAGGGAAUCCUGGAGGUGGAAAUCCCAUGCUCACAGGUCUGAUGAUGUCUGCAGGGCUGGGGGAUUGGCACUGAGCUUCUGCCCAGUGGGAUUCUUCUGGGUGCCUUGUGCCAUUUUGCAGGACACAGAGGUUCAUUUGAUACUUUUCUGUGGCAUGUGUUUAGGAUAAAGGGCAGACCUGGACUCCCUUCUCUACCUGAUAGCCUCUCAGUUUCUUGGCUUGUGCUCCCUUUCAAAACAAGGGGAACAACUCCUUUGUUAUGUGCACGAGGAGAAACAUUUGAGCAGGCUUUGGCUCUUUUGCCUCUCAGUCCAGUGCUCAGCACUGCCUGUCUCCCCAUGGAUUUGGUGAGGGAGGCCUAAAGCAGGAGGUUUACCUACGCCCAGAACUCUGGCAGCUGUGACUGGCUUUGCUUCUCUUCUCAGCAGAGAUGACAGGAAGUAUCAAAGCCAAAUAUUCACUGGAGGCAAAGUCUGAACACUUGAAAUAAGAUUUAGUGACUCAAUCCAUUGUGGGCCACUUGGGACUCUGAAAAUCCCUGCAGGUUAUGUGCUGAUGAUAGCUGAGCUAAUCUUAGGGAGGUGGACAGGGGCAUCUUCUGGCGUCUAUGUUUUCAAAUUUCCUCUUUUCUCCUCCAUUCAGGAAAAAUUCUUGGGUUGUGAAGCUUUAUUCUUGGGUUGUGAAGCCGAAGAAGCCUCUGGAAGCCUGUCAUCGGUGAAUGACAAGAAUUGGAAACCAAGGCUGCCAAAGAUCACACAGCUAGUUUAAAUGGUGAAGCUGCAAUUCUUACCCGGGAGCAAGCCAUCAAGGCUGGAGCUGGUGGGUG
rnacentral:lncRNA from 1 species